rnacentral:lncRNA from 1 species
GGGACUAUGAUUUUAUUAUUGAUUUAUACUUGAAUGUCUAACCACUCUUUAGCACCAUUCUAGAUUUACUGAUUGUAUAUAGUACUAAGAUGUUAAAGUGGAUCAACCUGUCAACUAUACACACUUGCCUCAAUUGUUUGAAGGAACCAAAGCUGACUUUUAACACUAAACCUCACAUAAUCGCUUGUCUUGGGGCUUGGUAUACAUGGGAUCAGAUUCUUCAGACCAGUCUGGAAGGUAACGCCUUGUGUAGAUUCAUUUAUCACAAUUUUCUCUCUCUAUUUCGACCCUAGAGUAGUUAGUUUUUAUCUAAAAAAAAAGAAAAAAAAUCCAAAAUUUAUUACUAGGAGUUAGGAUGUAGUUAGGAGGAGUCUGAAUAGGACUUGGUGGCUAAAACCAUUAAGGUUUGCUUCAUUAAGAUUCCAACAAAAAGAAUUUAAACGGGACUUGGAGGCGGAAAUCUUCAAGGCUCGCUUCACAAAGAAUUCUUGGAUAUAGGUCACAAAGAUGUGAACAGGGCUUGGUGGCAACCACCAUUAAGUCUUGAUUCAUGGAAGCCUGUCCAAUAUUGGUCACUAAUCCUGCAAUGGAAGCAGACUUUGACUCAAGAGAGAAAUUAUGAACUAACUUUUACCUGCUGUUCCAGAUACUUGUCUGAAAUCCUUGCAUCCUGUGAUCGAUACUCCCAAGAUAAAACAUGCACUUUUAUAUUUAUGCUAAGAAAUGAGGUUGGUAGUGGGAAAUGUCAGACAUGAUUUGCUGAGUUGUAGACUAGUUGAAAUUGGUUGCUAAGCUAGGAUAUUGCAUAAUGUGCUUUUGCGAUUAGGACUUUUUAGAUGUGGUUUGCGAUAUUGUAGAGGUAAUGAUUUCUAUGUUUUAAAUCUGUAAGUCCUUGCUGUUUUC